AAUAUAUUGACUUUAUUUGUCUCCUUUCAGGAGCCUCACAGACAUAUCCAGGUAAAAAGAUCGUUAAAUAAAUGCCUUCAGCCAUCGCAAUGCAAAAAUAAAUAUCAAUCCUCCAGACGCAGUAGCAGCCGCGCUGCGCCCAAAGUCCCAACGGCCACGCCUAACAAUUAUAAAAGUGUUCAGCGAGAGUGUUGGCGUGAGUGUGAAUGGGUGUGCGCUGGGGGGCACGGUGGAGCGGUGUGCAAAAUCGGAGUUGCAAACCAUCGGACAAGGGCAUGGAGUGGCUACCCGCCGCCGACUCAGCGCGGGCGCGCCUCCCCGCACACACUCACAGCAGAGUUCGCACUGGGAAGAGUUAAAAAAUAAACAUUUACAAGGACGAGGAAAGCGGCCCCGCUCCCGGCGCUCCCGGGCCAGGGCGAGCGCGCGAGACUGGCGCGGCCGCCGCAGCCGGCCCCGGCCCUUGGGCAGCUUGGCGGGCCGCACGGGCUGCGGGAACUCGUCGGCCAGGCACACGAAGUGCGGCAUCACCGCCUGGUAACUGGAGCAGAUGCCCAUCAGCUCGCCGGGCUUGGCGGCCAUGGCGCCUCCGGCGUCUGCGGGGCCGGGCGGCGGGGCGCCGGGGCUCUCCGAGGGCGGCCGCUGCGCCGGGGCCCCCCGGGAGGCAGCAGCCGGGGGCUCGCCGGGCGGGGGAUCCAAAUCUGCUGCGGGGUGGCGGCGGCCCUCGCGGGCCCGGGCCGGCGCUCCUCGGGAGGGCGGGCGGGCGGGCGGACCCGUCGGGGGGCACGGGGCUCGGGGGGCGCUGUUCCGCCGCGCUCCGAGGCGCUCGCCGCCGC
rnacentral:lncRNA from 10 species